UCAGACGAUGCGUCAUGCAUAUCAAUAAGCGGAGGAAAAGAAACUAACAAGGAUUCCCUCAGUAACGGCGAGUGAAGCGGGAAGAGCUCAAAUUUGAAAUCUUCAAGGUUUUACCUUGACGAAUUGUAGUUUAAAGAAGUGUUUUCUGCUGAAGUUUUGGUAAAAGUUCUUUGGAAUAGGACAUCAUAGAGGGUGAGAAUCCCGUAUUUGACCAUUAUUUUCAGCUUUGUGAUACACUUUCAAAGAGUCGGAUUGUUUGGGAAUGCAGUCCAAAAUGGGUGGUAAAUUUCAUCUAAAGCUAAAUAUUGGCGAGAGACCGAUAGCGAACAAGUACCGUGAGGGAAAGAUGAAAAGAACUUUGAAAAGAGAGUUAAACAGUACGUGAAAUUGUCAAAAGGGAAGCGUUUGACACCAGUGUUGUUUUCUCGAAAAUCAAUUAAAAAUGGCUCGAUUUUGUAUUGUUUGAGACCUUAAAAGCUCACUGUACAUUUUUCGUGUCUUUUUUAAUGCACUUUUCGUUUAACAAGUCAACAUCAGUUUCUUUUGUUGUAAAAGGGUCAUUGGAAGGUGGCUUUCUUUUCGGAGAAAGUGUUUAUAGCCUUUGGCCUCUGCAAUCGGAGAGACUGAGGUCUGCAGCGUAGACUCUUCGGGGUUAGAUACAUUUGUGCUAAGUUAUAGCUUUUUAUAGACAACUUGUUGACUAUAAUUAGUCUUGUAGCUUACUCGCUUAUGCUAUUUUACCUACGCUUAGGAUGUUGACUGAUAUGUAGUCGUA
rnacentral:rRNA from 1 species